UAACUAUAGCAGUAAAUAUAUUAAAAUCGGAAUGAUAUAGAAAGGAUUAGCAUGGCUCCUGGGCAAGGAUGACAUGCAAAAUCAUAAAUAAUUGCAAGAAUGA